rnacentral:rRNA from 1 species
UACGUAGGUGGCAAGCGUUGUCCGGAUUUAUUGGGUUUAAAGGGUGCGUAGGCGGUUCCAUAAGUCAGUGGUGAAAUCCGGCAGCUCAACUGUCGAGGUGCCAUUGAUACUGCGGAACUUGAGUACUGAUGAGGUAGGCGGAAUUGACGGUGUAGCGGUGAAAUGCUUAGAUAUCGUCAAGAACACCGAUAGCGAAGGCAGCUUACCAAGCAGUAACUGACGCUGAGGCACGAAAGUGCGGGGAGCAAACAGG